CCUACGGGAGGCAGCAGUGAGGAAUAUUGGACAAUGGACGAGAGUCUGAACCAGCAAAGUAGCGUGAAGGAUGAAGGCCCUAUGGGUGGUAAACUUCUUUUAUAUGGGAAUAAAAUGUUCCACGUGUGGGAUUUUGUAUGUACCAUAUGAAUAAGGAUCGGCUAACUCCGGGCCGGCAGCCGCGGUAAUACGGGGGAUACGAGGGUUAUCCGGAUUUAUUGGGUGUAAAGGGAGCGUAGGUGGAUUGUUAAGUCAGUUGUGAAAGUUUGCGGCUCAACCGUAAAAUUGCAGUUGAAACUGGCAGUCUUGAGUACAGUAGAGGUGGGCGGAAUUCGUGGUGUAGCGGUGAAAUGCUUAGAUAUCACGAAGAACUCCGAUUGCGAAGGCAGCUCACUGGACUGCAACUGACACUGAGGCUCGAAAGUGUGGGUAUCAAACAGGAUUAGAUACCCUGGUAGUC
rnacentral:rRNA from 1 species